CCAACUAUUCUCGGAUGUCUC
rnacentral:siRNA from 1 species